AAUAAAAUGGCUGAAAUUAAGCGAUAAAUUGUAAAUUUAUUUAUGAAUACUGUAUUCUUUUAUUA
rnacentral:tRNA from 1 species